rnacentral:rRNA from 1 species
UAGAGUUUGAUCCUGGCUCAGGACGAACGCUGGCGGCGUGCCUAAUACAUGCAAGUCGAACGAAGCUUUCUUUCACCGAAUGCUUGCAUUCACCGAAAGAAGCUUAGUGGCGAACGGGUGAGUAACACGUAGGCAACCUGCCCAAAAGAGGGGGAUAACACUUGGAAACAGGUGCUAAUACCGCAUAACCAUGAACACCGCAUGAUGUUCAUGUAAAAGACGGCUUUUGCUGUCACUUUUGGAUGGGCCUGCGGCGUAUUAACUUGUUGGUGGGGUAACGGCCUACCAAGGUGAUGAUACGUAGCCGAACUGAGAGGUUGAUCGGCCACAUUGGGACUGAGACACGGCCCAAACUCCUACGGGAGGCAGCAGUAGGGAAUCUUCCACAAUGGACGAAAGUCUGAUGGAGCAACGCCGCGUGAAUGAAGAAGGCCUUCGGGUCGUAAAAUUCUGUUGUCAGAGAAGAACGUGCGUGAGAGUAACUGUUCACGUAUUGACGGUGUCUGACCAGAAAGCCACGGCUAACUACGUGCCAGCAGCCGCGGUAAUACGUAGGUGGCGAGCGUUGUCCGGAUUUAUUGGGCGUAAAGGGAACGCAGGCGGUCUUUUAAGUUUGAUGUGAAAGCAUUCGGCUUAACCGAAGUAGUGCAUUGGAAACUGGAAGACUUGAGUGCAGAAGAGGAGAGUGGAACUCCAUGUGUAGCGGUGAAAUGAGUAGAUAUAUGGAAGAACACCAGUGGCGAAAGCGGCUUUCUGGUCAGUAACUGACGCUGAGGUUCGACAGCGUGGGUAGCAAACACGAUUAGAUGCCCUGGUAGUCCACGCCGUAACAGAUGAGUGCUAAGUGUUGGAGGGUUUCCGCCCUUCAUUGCUGC